AAAGUCGUAACAAGGUUUCCGUAGGUGAACCUGCGGAAGGAUCAUUAUCACGUAUCCAAACGUAUAAACCCAAUGUGCACCUCUAUCCUCCUUUGGAACUAUGAAGUGGCAGAGAAGUUGAUAUUUCGAUUCAUGGUCUUUCGAAAUUCUCUGUCUGGCUAUUGCUUUCGGGCUUUAACCGCCUUCUAAUCCGGGAGUCGUAUCAAACCAUGCUUGUUUUACUAUAACAACUUGUACCUUUCUGAACUAACUUUGGUUUUCUAACUCUGAUUUUUUCCUCUGGGAAAAUUUCUCUGGUAGUAACCUUGAUUUAUACAAACUCUGAACUACUCUUAACAACGGAUAUCUUGGUUCUC
rnacentral:misc_RNA from 1 species